UACGUAGGGGGCAAGCGUUAUCCGGACUUACUGGGUGUAAAGGGGGCGCAGACGGAGAUGCAAGCCAGAUGUGAAAGCCCGCGGCUUACCUGCGGGAGUGCAUUUGGAACUGCGUGUCUAGAGUACUGGAGGGGCAGGCGGAAUUCCUGGUGUAGCGGUGAAAUGCGUAGAUAUAAGGAAGAACACCAGUGGCGAAGGCGGUCUACUGGACAGUAACUGACGCUGAGGCGCGAGAGCGUGGGGAGCAAAC
rnacentral:rRNA from 1 species